CGUGUCAAUCUGCAUGAGAAAAGGCUUUCCUGGAAAAUUAUUUCACGGAUGACACAUUCAAGUGUUUGACCAAGCAUGGGGUCGUCUGAGUUGAGAGUGGAGAAACAAGAUGAAUCUAACACUCCUGGUGGAGAUUUUUUUGUUGAUGUUUGUGUUUUUCUUUGAACAAAAUGACUGCACUCUGCUGCCCAGAGGAGAUUACAUAUAAGAGGAUCUCACAGGAGCAGAUGGUCGGGGCGGUCCCUACAAAGGAUUGUGGGAGGCGUUCAGAUGCUUCAUGUCUCUCGCAGUGUUGCCAGAGACGUUUGAGAAAUCGGUUUGAGCCACGAGCAGCAGACACCGUCUCAGGAGCCUGACCCAGCCACGUCAUCUACGAGUCUGUGUGAAGGGAAAUGAUCACCCUGCAUCACCUCACUAGAAAAAAAGUCAUUUUAUCAAAGUUGAAGGAGAAGAAUCUACAUUCCAUUAUACUGUGAGGCAGCUUAACACUUUAACAUACAGU